AUGGAUGAAAACAAUAGUACUAAAAUUUUUGACUGUCAUAUUUUACUGUGUGGCACGAGCUUAUUGAAUACCUUGUUAGCAGUUUAUUUUUCUAUGCAUAACUAUAAGGUUAUAAAUAUAGAUAAAAAUAAUUAUUAUGGUGACGUAAAUUGUUCUUUAAAUUUUAACCAGUUUCAAGACAAAAAAAAAAAUCUUGAAAACUUUUAUGAGGAAUAUUUACCAUUUUCUUGUAAUAUAAGCAACCAGAAAAAGCAAGACUUAAAAGAAAUUAUUAAAAACUAUUUCGAAAUUUAUAACAAUUCAUUUAAUAUUGAUAUUAAUCCCAAAAUAGUAUACAAUGAAAGUAACAUUGUCAAUUUAUUAGUACAUUUAAAUGCACAUAUAUAUCUCAGUUUUGUAGGCAUCCAGAACUUUUAUUUGACUUAUAAAAAUAAUACCAAAUUGCAAAAUGACGGAAAAUUGCAAAAUGACACAAAAUUAAAAAAUAACGAAAAAUUACAAAAUGACACCAAAUUGCAAAAUGACAAAAAAUUCCAAAAAAAAAAUUCCGACACAAAAGAGAACAUUGUUAAUACUGUUUAUAACAAAAAUGAAAUAAACAUUAAAGAAGACAUAAAUACAAUUAAUAAAAAGAUAAAUAAAAUAUGUAUAAAAAAAGACAUACAAUCAGAUGACUUAAUUUUACGCAAAAUACCUUUAAACAAAUCACAAGUUUUUUUAGAUAAAAAUUUAAGUUUGAUUGAAAAAAGAAUUAUUAUGAAUUUUAUUUAUAAAAACAUUAUUUAUGAUAAAAAUUACACGUUUUCAAAUUUUUCCAAUUAUAAUUUUGUUAAAACAGCAAAUAUAACGCAAGAUAUACGCUUACAAAAAGUUGAUCAUUAUAAUAUACUAUCUCAAAAUAAAAAAAAUAUUUCAAAUAUGCAUCAUGAUGGUAAACACAUAACUAAAUAUUAUGAUAACGAUAAAAAUAGUAAAGAAGAAGAUGAAAAAAAAAGUAAAAACUCUAUGUAUAUAAAUAUUUUGGAUUACCUAAAACAAUAUAAUAUUACAAACAAAUUAACUGAUUAUAUUAUUUAUGGAAUGGGUUUAUUUGAUUUAGAAUUACAAAAUUGUUAUAAUAAAAACAUUUCUGAAUAUUAUUUAAGUGGAUAUACAAAAAAUAAAAUAUAUAUUAUGAAUAAAAAGGAGUUUUUACAACGUUUUCAUAUUUUAAUAAAUUCAUUAAGUAAAUUUAGAUUACAAAAUUCAUUUGAAAAUGCUUUUAUUUAUCCCUUAUAUGGAUUAAAUGAUAUUAUAUAUGCUAUGACAAGAGUAGCCUGUUUAAAUUGUGCUACAUAUAUGAUUAAUAGAAAAAUUAAUAAUAUUAUAUACACAAAUUCGAAUAUUCAAGAUAAUCAGUAUACACAAAAAAAUGAUACAUUUUUAAACUCUAGUUCCGUAUUAAUUAAAGAAGUUAUUUUAGAUAAUGGUUUUAUUAUUAGACCAAAAUUAGUUAUCUCAUCUGGGUCUAAUCUAAACUUUGAAAAAAAUAAAAAUCACCUUUUUGGUCGUUAUAAAAAAAAAAAAAUAAGAAAACAUAAAAAAAAAACUUUGGAAAUUAUAACUAACAGAUUAAUGGUGUUAAGUACGUAUUCACUGCUUGGAACGAAUGGGCUAUCAUUUUACAUACAUAAACAACCAUAUCUGCAACAACAACAACAACAACAACAACAACAACAACAACAACAACAACANNNNNNNNNNAACAACAACAACAACAACAACAACAACAACAACAACAACAACAACAAAAUGAAAAUAAUUAUUAUAAUAUUGUACAUAUUUUACAGUUAG
rnacentral:lncRNA from 1 species